UACGGAGGGUGCAAGCGUUAUCCGGAUUCACUGGGUUUAAAGGGUGCGUAGGUGGGUCUGUAAGUCCGUGGUGAAAUCUCUAGGCUUAACCUGGAAACUGCCAUGGAUACUAUAGAUCUUGAAUACUGUGGAGGUCAGCGGAAUAUGUCAUGUAGCGGUGAAAUGCUUAGAUAUGACAUAGAACACCAAUUGCGAAGGCAGCUGGCUACACAAAUAUUGACACUGAGGCACGAAAGCGUGGGGAUCAAACAGG
rnacentral:rRNA from 1 species